GAAACUGGCUCCUCCAAGCUCACAAGAGCCAAUGGGAAAUAUUCAGGAAUUUGUUGGUAGCUGGAAAUCGACCAUGGUGGGGUUACUUUAUACUUAGCCUGUAUCACAUUUGUAAUUUGACAUGUGUGAUGAAUGAUGAGCACCCGUCUUCCCCAUGGGAAUAUAAACUUUCCAUGGCAAGAGAGACCAUGCCUGGUUUUACUCACUCUCUUUGCUGUAUCAACUCCUACUCUUUGGGCAAGCCAUGAUGUCUCUGAAUCUCCAUUUUCUUGGGUUUAUUCUUGGAGAACCUUUGAGAGCUGUGAGUGACAUGAUCAGCUUUGUAUUUUGGACACCUCCUUUUGAUGUCACUGAAGGAAAGAACUAGAGGGAUAUAACUAAUUUGAUAAGAAAUAAUGGAACUAAUAGAGUUAUAAAGGAAAACAGGUGAAAAAGGUGGGUUCCUCCCUCUUUUUCUUCCUUGGUUGUGUUUAUUGAACAACUGUGUGCCAGGUACUGUGCUAGGAAGUGAGGAUACAGUGGUA
rnacentral:lncRNA from 1 species